AACUGCAGGAUUGGCGACUACUGAACACGGUGCCAGACUGACCGUGAGAUGUCAUGCCUGAAACUGUUGCAGCACACUGCAGUCUGCGUUUGGAAUGGAC